AUACUUACUCCGGCAGGGAGAGCCCAUGAUCUAAGAAGGUGGUUCACCCAGCUAGGCUCGUUUAUUGCACUCCGGGUUAGCACCCCCGCGACUCUAAAUGUGGGAAUCUCUUUACUGCACAAUUUCUGAUAGUGGGGGAUCGCGUCACGCUCUCCCCUG